ACCUGGAUGGCUCAGUCGGUUGAGCGCCUGACUUCAGCUCAGGUCAUGAUCUCACGGUUCGUGGAUUCGAGCUCUGCGUCAGGCU
rnacentral:tRNA from 1 species